AUGUCAGUCGUUAGUGAUAAAAGGCUCAGGAGAGGAAGCCCGCCAUGGUCUGAUCUUCCAUAUGACAUAUUGUGUUGCAUAAUGGGGCACCUUUGUUUUGUGGCCAAAUUCAAUUUCGUGCUGUUUGCAAGAAUUUUGGACUGGUUGCUGGUAUUAGGCCUAAAGAUAAACUGCCCUGGGUUCUAACAUUAAACUUCAGUUUUAAAAAUGAUAUGUACCCAUCUAGCCUCUAUGAUCCAUGUACCCUUCAAGCAUAUAAGCUUGAUCAUGAAUUAACAUCUUCUAGCUGGACUGGGGUUGUCAAACUACAAGUUUGCGGUGCAAGAAACGGUUGGUUGCUUCUAGCUGAAAUUACACCUUUUUUUUUCUUUGGUCACACUGAUUUUUACCUCUACAAUCCUUUCACUGAUGAUGCGAGUAUCAAUUUGCCCCGUUAA
rnacentral:lncRNA from 1 species